UUUAACACAUACUCACUGAUGGUAAUGAUCAGGGCUGCCAACUUUUCACUUUUAGUUUGGAGUGAGAUUUGUGAUCAGUGACGUCAGUGCAUUUUAUGAGUAGCCUUCUGUGACAUAUUCCACGCAGGAAUCCUCGCGCCUUAACCCUCAAGAAUCAAGUUUUAAAGUUCAGCAGCCGAAUUCACAAUUUUAAAGCAUGUAUGAAAUGCCAAGUCAACAAUCAUGAAAAUUGGUAAUUUCAGAGACUGCUUUCCUGCAUUCUAGUGAAUGCAUGAGUGGGAGACAUUGUCCAAGAUGACAUAGUUUGGACAGCAUCAUCCUCCUGACACCACCGACAGAGUCCAGCUCCACCUCUGAAAGGUUAAACAUAUGAUCAGAUAUGAUUGACUCGAAUUUUCAAUACAGGCUAUGAUUUUCACACA